rnacentral:rRNA from 1 species
AUUGAACGCUGGCGGCAUGCCUUACACAUGCAAGUCGAACGGCAGCACGGGGCAACCUGGUGGCGAGUGGCGAACGGGUGAGUAAUGCAUCGGAACGUGCCAUUGAGUGGGGGAUAACGUAGCGAAAGCUACGCUAAUACCGCAUACGAUCUACGGAUGAAAGCGGGGGAUCGCAAGACCUCGCGCGAAUGGAGCGGCCGAUGGCAGAUUAGGUAGUUGGUGGGGUAAAGGCUCACCAAGCCAACGAUCUGUAGCUGGUCUGAGAGGACGACCAGCCACACUGGGACUGAGACACGGCCCAGACUUCUACGGGAGGCAGCAGUGGGGAAUUUUGGACAAUGGGCGAAAGCCUGAUCCAGCCAUUCCGCGUGAGUGAAGAAGGCCUCGGGUUGGUAAAGGUACUCUUUCGGUCCGGGAAGGAAAGUACGCAUGGGUUAAGUAACCCUCGUGCGG